rnacentral:rRNA from 1 species
GUCAUGCUAAUUAGUGUUCGCUUCUCUUUUGAGCGGACAAUUCUUCUUAGAGGGACUGGCGGCUCUUAGUCGCACGAGAUUGAGCAAUAACAGGUCUGUGAUGCCCUUAGAUGUUCUGGGCCGCACACGCGCUACACUGAAAAGCUCAGCGUGUUCUCCCUUCCUGAGAAGGACGGGUAAACCGCUGAACCCUUUUCGUGGUAGGGAUAGGGGCUUGCAAUUAUUCCCCUUGAACCAGGAAUUCCCAGUAGGCGCAAGUCAUCAGCUUGCGUCGAUUACGUCCCUGCCCUUUGUACACACCGCCCGUCGCUACUACCGAUUGAACGUUUUAGUGAGGUCCUCGGACUGUGUGCUUGGCGGAUCACUCUGCCUCGCCUGCGGAAAGACGACCAAACUGUAGCGUUUAGAGGAAGUAAAAGUCGUAACAAGGUAUCC